AGGAAAGCAGGGGAUCGCAAGACCUUGCGCUUUUGGAGCGGCCGAUGUCUGAUUAGCUAGUUGGUGAGGUAAAGGCUUACCAAGGCUUCGAUCAGUAGCUGGUCUGAGAGGACGACCAGCCACACUGGGACUGAGACACGGCCCAGACUCCUACGGGAGGCAGUAGUGGGGAAUUUUGGACAAUGGGGGAAACCCUGAUCCAGCCAUGCCGCGUGAGUGAAGAAGGCCUUCGGGUUGUAAAGCUCUUUCAGCCGGAACGAAAAGGUUACGGUUAAUACCCGUGACUAAUGACGGUACCGGAAGAAGAAGCACCGGCUAACUACGUGCCAGCAGCCGCGGUAAUACGUAGGGUGCGAGCGUUAAUCGGAAUUACUGGGCGUAAAGCGUGCGCAGGCGGUUUUGUAAGUCAGAUGUGAAAUCCCCGGGCUCAACCUGGGAACUGCGUUUGAAACUACAAGGCU
rnacentral:rRNA from 1 species